rnacentral:tmRNA from 1 species
GGGGCUGUUCUGGUUUUGACAGCAUUGACGACGGAAGGUAAGCACGCCGGGAGUGGAUGGUUGGCCCGUAAUCCUCAGCCGUCGAACAAUUAGUAGGCAACUACAACUAUUCAUACGCUUGCUAAUCUCCAAGAGAUUCAGCAUUAAUCAGAGCCGCCAAGGCUGCGGUACUGACGUAUAUCCCUCCGGCUUUAAGCCGCUUAUGUCCGGACCCAGGGGUAUCAUUCAAAGCGGAUGCUCGGAACAGACGCCUCUAAGUUCCGCCAAGAUUCAGAGGAUAAGCUGCUGCUAAGGGCGUCUUCCCUCGUACAGCCGCCGACAACCAAAGGAAGAAUAAGCGUGUAGAAAGCUUUUCGGGACUUUGUUUGGACGCGGGUUCGACUCCCGCCAGCUCCACAA